GUGUGUGUGUGUGUAUAUGUUAUGUAUAUAUCUGUAUCUUAAAUAGACAGUAAACGAGGGCCUACUGUAGUGCCGGAUAACUACUCACUCACAAUUACUAUGGCCCAAAAUCCAAAGAUAAUAUGGUCCUUGUAUAUGUGAUACUGAGUCUAGUUACUGAUGAUCUCAACAUGACACUGUUAGUUAAUUGUACUCUAGGAGAUGAUGAUAAGUGAAUUACUUUAGAAAUACCUCCUCUUUUCCAUUCAGGAAUACACAAUUCAAGAUGGGGUCAUAUCCUGGAACCAGAAGUGGCCAUGACUCCUCAAAAAAAAGUCGAUUCCCCUAAGUGGGGAGAAAGUUGACAACUUUCCAUGGAGGCCACAGCAGACCUUAAGUGCUUGGUCCCUGAAAAGAUGCCCAGUAUCUCCAGUGCUUAAGAGAGAGGCAGGUGAAAUCUCAAAUGAAGUAUCUUCUGGCACCUGUCCUCAAAGAGACGACACAGAAUAUCUGAUGGGGAGGGUGUGGAGAAAAGUGACUCCGAGGAAGGUAUUUGUGGAAAGCUGAGUGGCUCACAGCCAGUAUGCAGAGAAGUGACGAGGUCCUUAGGAAAGGAAAGGUGCAGCUCCCUAAAGCUCCGGCAGUCCCACUCCUGCUUGCAUGUGGGGAAAGAAAACCAUCCUUCGAAACACACACGUACACGCUCAUUUGGCCUUUGCCCAUCUUACCUGCAACAGGCAAGGCAUGGAAACUAUGAAAAUGCCCGGCAACAGAAGAAAGGGUAAAGAAGACGGGCCUCACAUAAACAACAGACUGCUACUCAGGCAGAAAAAAACCAAGCACACAUGAUAUCACAUAUACAUGGACACCCAGAUAGCACUGAACUCACACACCAAAAAAAUGUCAAACUGUUUUCAAAGGGGCAAGAUGGGGAGGGUGGAGAGGGAAACUACAAGCUCGAAGUUCACAGCUCCACACCGAUACACAUGUAUUUGUAUAUAUAUUUAAGAUAGAUGAUUUAGGAGACCCUACAGUGGAACACAGACAACUCUUUUCACUCUGCAAAUAACUGUCCCAAAGAAUCCAAGCAACAGUCAUUCCAUGUACAUUUGAACCUGAGUCCAGUUCCCAUUCAACUCAUACACGAUUCUGUAUAUUAAUCAUAAUCCAGGAGAAAAUAAAACUUGACUUCACUUUAGAGAUGCCUCCUCUUUUCCGUUCAGGCCUGGCUGGGCUGGGGUCAUACCUUGGAGCCCUGAGGUAGCUUGGAUCUCAAGUUUGACAGUGGUUGUUUCUAGGAUCAACCACCUUAAAACCUACGUUGAGAUUGAAGUCACUCAGUCGUGUCCGACUCUUUGCAACCUUGUGGACUGUAAAACCUAUGUUUCUGGGUGCUUAAUAAGCAAAAGGCUUGAAGGGUGUGAAAGACCACAGCUCUCAUGAAGUUCUGUAGGAGGUCACGGAAGAAAAAUUCAUAGAAGAGUCUGCUUGCCACAUGCCAAUUUCAAAAGAAGAAAGUUCACUUAACCUGUGUUUUUCUUUUUAAAGCAGCUGAGAAGAUGCUCAGCAUCUCCACUGCUUAGAGAAAUGCAAAUGAAAUCUACAACAAGGUAUCUCUGACAUAAAUCAUCAAAAAUCCUACAAACAAUACAUGAUGGAGAGGGCCUGGAGAAAAGGUACCCUGAGCAAGGUAUUUGUAGAAAGCUAAAUUGCUCAGAGCCAGUAUAGAGAGAAGUAGAGAAGCUAUUUGAGAAAAAACUACAGCUCUGUACAUUUGGCCAUGCACUCCUACUUUUAUGUCCAAAGAGAAGAUCAGCAGUGAAAAAUCACACACUCCCUCCCUUGGCCUUUUCCCAUCUACCUACAACGGGCAAGGCAUGCAAGCUAUUGUCCAGCGAUAGUGGAACAAACAAAGAUGAUGUAUGUAUACACCUUAUACAAAGAAGACACCAUGUGUACAACAGACUAUUACUCAGAAAACCAAAUUGCAACACACCAUUGACAACAGUAUGCAUGGACCCAGAGAAGACCUCACUAACUCAAGUAGGUCAGACAGAGGAAGACCAAGCUGAUGAAAUCACUUCUAGGUGGAAACUAGAACCAAACUGAAAUAAUUCACAGGGAAAUGUAAACACUCACCCUCAGACAAAAAAUUCAGAGUUUCUGGUGGAGCAUGAUGGCGAGGUUGGAGAGAAAAAUAAUGAGGUUACCCUGAACUGGUACACGCUAAUGUAAAUAGACAAUUAAUGAGGCCCUACUGCAUAGCACAGACAACUCUACUCACUCUACAAACACUGUCACAAGAGAAUCAAAAGAAAAAUCGGUCCUUGUUUAUGUGAACUUGAAUCCAGGUCCUACUGAACUCAAAGACAGUACUGUAAAUUGAGCAUACUCCAGGAGAGAAUAAAAAUUCAAUGUAA